rnacentral:tRNA from 2 species
GUGAUUAUAGUUCAGUUGGUUAGAGCGUCAGAUUGUGGUUCUGAAUGUCGUGGGUUCGAGUCCCACUAGUCACCCCA